rnacentral:rRNA from 1 species
UACGUAGGUGGCAAGCGUUGUCCGGAUUUACUGGGCGUAAAGAGCGCGCAGGCGGUUAUUCAAGUCGAAUGUGAAAGCCCCCGGCUUAACUGGGGAGGGUCGUGCGAUACGGUCGGACUGGAGGCCAGUAGGGGGAUGCGGAAUUCCGGGUGUAGUGGUGGAAUGCGUAGAGAUCAGGAGGAACACCAGUGGCGAAGGCGGGUCUCUGGGCCGAUACUGACGCUGAGGAGCGAAAGCGUGGGGAGCGAACAGG